rnacentral:rRNA from 1 species
GGUAACACUAACCAUGGCCGUAUCAACAAGGCCCCGUGUGGGGCUGUUGGACGCAGUGCCAUCCGGAGUGUCCACCACGACAAGAGCCAAGGCGUUCACAUCCUCCUCCGUUUCCAUCUCCGUGCGGUCAGCCACUAUGGCCCUAGCCAAGGCGGCGCCGUCAUCCAGAGAUGGAUUAUCCACCAAGACAGCUUCCUUCCGUGCUUUCUUCCUCUCGAACUCCUUCGUCCGGUCCUUCACCGACUUGAACGAGUCAUCCUCCACAUGCAAAUCCAGCGGCGGACUCCUAGAUUUCUUGCCCAUCAAGAAAGGUCUAGGCGGAGAGCAUGAAUGGAGAAAAACCCUCUAACACCGCCGUGGGGAGCGGUGCGAUCAGUCGGGCGUUGUCGGCGAGGGGCGCCGGCAACAAGGGAAGAAACGGCGAAGUCUUGCGGCGGUAGAAGAUGAUCGGAGACGGGCUGAGGGCGGGAGGCGCCACCAGCCGCGAGUUUUUGGGAGAGAAAAGUUGAGAGCAAAAUUUCGGCCCCUAGGGUUUCCGAAAUUUUGUUGCGCGCACAAUGACUCAACUGACAUGCAAAUCAUUCGACUGACUUGGGUAUAGGGGUGAAAGUCUAAUCGAACCGUCUAGUAGCUGGUUCCCUCUGAAGUUUCCCUCAGGAUAGCUGGAGCUCUAGUGCGAGUUCUAUCGGGUAAAGCCAAUGAUUAGAGGCAUCGGGGGCGCAACGCCCUUGACCUAUUCUAAAACUUUAAAAAGGUAGGACGGUGCAGCUGCUCUGUUGAGCCACGCCGGAGAAUCAUGAGCUCCAAGUGGGCCAUUUUUGGUAAGCAGAACUGGCGAUGCGGGAUGAAUUGGAAGCUGGGUUACGGUGCCCAACUGCGUACUAACCUAGAUCCCACAAAGGGUGUUGGUCGAUUAAGACAGCAGGACGGUGGUCAUGGAAGUCGAAAUUCGCUAAGGAGUGUGUAACAACUCACCUGCCGAAUCAACUAGCCCAAAAAAUGGAUGGCUCUAAAGCGCAUGACCUAUACCCGACCGUCAGGGCAAGGGCCAUGCGUCGAUGAGUAGGAGGGGACGGCGGUCGCUGCAAAACCCUGGGCACAAGCUCGGGUGGAGCGGCCAUCGAUGAGGAUCUUAGUGGUAGUAGCAAAUAUUUAAAUGAGAACUUUGAAGGCCGAAGAAGGGAAAGGUUCCAUGUGAAUGACACUUGCACAUGGGUUAGUCGAUCCUUAGGGUCGGGGAAAGCCCGACAGACAGCACGUUCAGCACGUGCUAUGAAAGGGAAUCGGUUUAAAAUUCCCAAAAAAGGAUGCGGCGGUUGACAACAAUGUUAGGGAGUCCAAAGACGUUGGUGGGGGCCUAGGGAAGAAUUAUCUUUUCUGUUUAACAGCCCGCCCACCAUGGAAAUGGCUCAGCUGGAGGUAGGGUCCAACGCUGGAAGAGAACCGCACGUCGCGUGGUGUUCAAUGUACCCCCGCAGCCCUUGAAAAUCUGGAGGACCGAGUACCAUCCAUGCCCGGUCGUACUCAUAACCGCAUCAGGUCUCCAAGGUGAACAACCUCUGGUCGAUGGAACAAUGUAGGCAAGGUAAGUCGGAAAAAUGGAUCCGUAGCCUCAGGAAAAGGAUUGGCUCUGAGGGCUGGGCACGGGGGUCACAGUCUCGAACCCAUCGACUGUCGACGAACUGCUUGAACUGCUCGCGCAGCAAGAGCUGGUCAUCGCGUGCCGACCGGGGGACAGAUUGGGAACGGCUCCCUCGAGGGCCUUCCCAGGCGUCAAAAAAUAGACUCAGCACUGGUACGGACAAGGGGAAUCUAACUGUUUAACUAAAAUAAAGUAUUGUGAUGGUCCCUGCGGAUGCUCACGCAAUGUGAUUUCUGCCCAGUGCUCUGAAUAUCAAAGUGAAGAAAUUCAACCAAGCACGAUUAAAUGGCGGGAGUAAUUAUGACUCUCUUAAGGCAGCCAAAUGCCUCGUCAUCUAAUUAGUGAUGCGCAUGAAUGGAUUAACGAGAUUCCCACUGUCCCUAUCUACUAUCCAGUAAAACCACAGUCAAGGGAAUGAGCUUGGCGGAAUCUACGGGAGAAGAAGACCCUGUUGAGGUUGACUCUAGUCCGAACAGCCAAAGGAACAGGCUUGGCAGAAUCAGUAGGGAAAGAAGACCCUGUUGAGGUUGACUCUAGUCCGACUUUGUUAAAUGACUUGAGAGGUGUAGGAUAAGUAGGAGCCGAAAGGCGAAAGUGAAAUACCACUACUUUUAACGUUAUUUAACUUAUUCCGUGAAUUGGAGGUGGGGCAUUGCCUCUCUUUUUGGACCCAAGGCUCACCUCGGCAGGCCGAUCAGGGCGGAAGACAUUGUCAGGUGGGGAGUUUAGCUAGGGCGGCACAUCUGUUAAAAGAUAAUGCAGGUGUCCAAAGAUGAGCUCAAUGAGAACAGAAAUCUCGUGUGGAAUAGAAGGUUAAUUCUGAUUUCCGGUACGAAUACGAACCGUGAAAGCAUGACCUAAUGAUCCUUUUGACCUUCAAAAUUUGAAGCUAGAGGUGUCAGAAAAGUUACCACAGGGAUAACUGGCUUGUGGCAGCCAAGCGUUCAUAGCGACGUUACUUUUUUAUCCUUCGAUGUCGGCUCUUCCUAUGAAUGUGAAGCAUAAUUCACCAAGUGUUGGAUUAUUCACCCACCAAUAGGGAAGAUGAGCUGGGUUUAGACCGUCAUGAGACAGAUUAGUUUUACCCUACUGAUGAUGGUGUCGCAAUAUUAAUUCAACCUAUUACAAGAGGAACCGUUGAUUCGCACAAUUGGUCAUCGCGCUUGGUUAAAAAGCUAGUGGCGCGAAGCUACUGUGUGCUGGAUUAUGACUGAAUGCCUCUAAGUCAGAAUCCGAGCUAGACGCUACACAUGCGCACGUCAUCUGCUCCCCGACCUGCAGUAGGGGCCCCUAGGCCCCCAAGGACACAUGUCGUUGGCUAAGCCCCCCUCGGCGAACGAGCCGCGUGGGCCGCCUCAGAGUACAAUUCCAAUCGAGCGGUAGGUAGAAUCAUUUACGGAUGACUUAAAUACAUGACCAGGUAUUGUAAGUGGCAGAGUGGCCUUGCUGCCACGAUCCGCUGAGAUUCAGCCCUCGUCGCUUUGAUUCGU